GCGCGAAAACUUUGCAAUGCGGGAAACCGUGACAAGGGAACUCUGAGUGCCCGUUAAAUCGGGCUGUCCAUCGGUUUAAAUAACCGGUGAAGAAAGGGCCGGGCAAGACCGGUGCCAGCCGCCGCGGUAAUACCGGCGGCUCGAGUGGUGGCCACUAUUACUGGGCUUAAAGCGUUCGUAGCUGGUUUGUUAAGUCUCUGGGGAAAUCUUCCGGCUUAACCGGAAGGCGUUUCAGGGAUACUGGCAGACUAGGGACCGGGAGAGGUGAGAGGUACUCCAGGGGUAGGAGUGAAAUCCUGUAAUCCUUGGGGGACCACCUGUGGCGAAGGCGUCUCACCAGAACGGCUCCGACAGUGAGGGACGAAAGCUGGGGGAGCAAACCGG
rnacentral:rRNA from 1 species